rnacentral:rRNA from 1 species
GCGGCGAACGGGUGAGUAACACGUGAGCAACCUGCCCCUGACUCUGGGAUAAGCCCGGGAAACUGGGUCUAAUACCGGAUAUAACCACUGGUCUCAUGAUCGGGUGGUGGAAAGUUUUUCGGUUGGGGAUGGGCUCGCGGCCUAUCAGCUUGUUGGUGGGGUGAUGGCCUACCAAGGCGACGACGGGUAACCGGCCUGAGAGGGCGACCGGUCACACUGGGACUGAGACACGGCCCAGACUCCUACGGGAGGCAGCAGUGGGGAAUAUUGCGCAAUGGGCGGAAGCCUGACGCAGCGACGCCGCGUGAGGGAUGACGGCCUUCGGGUUGUAAACCUCUUUCAGCAGGGACGAAGCUAACGUGACGGUACCUGCAGAAGAAGCGCCGGCUAACUACGUGCCAGCAGCCGCGGUAAUACGUAGGGCGCAAGCGUUGUCCGGAAUUAUUGGGCGUAAAGAGCUCGUAGGCGGUUUGUCGCGUCUGUCGUGAAAGCCCACGGCUUAACCGUGGGUCUGCGGUGGAUACGGGCAGACUAGAGGCAGGUAGGGGAGAAUGGAAUUCCCGGUGUAGCGGUGAAAUGCGCAGAUAUCGGGAGGAACACCGGUGGCGAAGGCGGUUCUCUGGGCCUGUACUGACGCUGAGGAGCGAAAGCGUGGGGAGCGAACAGGAUUAGAUACCCUGGUAGUCCACGCCGUAAACGUUGGGCGCUAGGUGUGGGGUCCUUCCACGGAUUCCGCGCCGCAGCUAACGCAUUAAGCGCCCCGCCUGGGGAGUACGGCCGC